AUGUCCAGCUACACAACGAGAUGAGGAUGGUCAUUGUCAUUUUCUAAGCUGCGAACGGGCAGAAAGCUACACAACGAGAUGAGGAUGGUCAUUGUCAUUUUCUGAGCUGCGAACGGGCAGAAAGCU